CUGCGUGUAGCUCAGUGGUAGAGCGGCUGUUUUAUAUCAGCAGGUUUAGGCCGAUGAAGGACGCUGGUUCGAUUCCAGCCACGCAAGCCA
rnacentral:tRNA from 1 species